ensembl:lncRNA
GAAGUUUUCUACAAACAUUAUUUAACCCUCAAAUGGGGUUUGCGGACAGAAAGGUCAGUGUUACACUCAGUUUACACAGGAGGUAACUCAGUAAGGUUAAAUGUCCAAAUCCAAGCGACAGAAGUAGUCAGUCUUUCUGAUUCUAAAUCCUACGCUAAGAUUAUAUCGUCGAGGCUUCUUAAAGUUAAGAAUGAGUGGCUGGGUGAGAAGCUACUACUAAUCACACUAAAAGCAGAUGAUAUUUAAAUAUUAAAAAUGACCACCUUCUAAAAAGUUGAAAAAGCGGCAAGGCACAGGAACUUUUGAUAAUACUGUAAUUUUUAAGAAACGUGGACUGGUCCUGACGAGGUGUGUAAGAUAGGGCUCCAAUGUCCAAAAGACGGGCUUCAGAGCAAACCCAAACCCAAACCCAGUAAAAGAGCCGCACUGACUGGCAGAUUCCACGCGAACCACUAGCCUCCCACGUGUCUUCCAGGAAACGCACAGAGCACGAGGGAUAAAAGAAGCCAAAGAAGGCUGGGGGAAAGGUAAAAACAGCGGCUAGGGCUUCCCUGGGAGACUGAGGGCACACGAAGGGUGGGGCGGGCUGGAGGGAACUCGCGGAGCAUCUGGCGGGCACCGGGGUCCGAGAACAGGCCUGGAAGCAGCACAGGGGAGGCGCUCGUCAGGGGAGCGGGCGGUCCGCGGAGCUCCAACACCGUGGAGCUCCGCAGUGGAUCGGCUCCUGUGGUUUGAAUGGGGGCGGAGGAGGAGAGAGUGCGGAAGAGGAAUGCAGAGAGUGGACGAGACGCUAGAGCAGCGACAGGUGGCCGCGGGUGAGAGUCCGAGAUUCGCGGGGGUGGGGCUGGCCGCACCUGCGAGCCCUCUGAGCCGCCGUAGCCCCGCCCCUCCGCGCGUGGCGCCCCGACGCUUAGCGCGCGGGCCGCUCUCUUUACAGAGGUCGCUCUUGUCCGAACGGGCGGCCUCUGCUGCGCCUGCGUGGUCGGGAGGGGAAGUGAGGCGGUUUCCUCGGCGCCUUUUCCGGCGGCGGCGGCGGCAGAGCUGGGAGGAGGCGGUGGAGGCCGGAGGAAGCCCGCGCUCGGGGCGGCGGCUGGAGGCAGCGCACCGAGUUCCCGCGAGGAUCAAUGACCUGACGGGGCGCCGGAGCCGCGCUGCCUCUCGGGUGGCCUGGGUCGGUGGUGAGCGUGGUGCUCGCGGACCGGGAGCCGGGCCGAAGGGCCGCAGUCUCCCGCGGCGGAGCGAGGAGAAGGCGGAGGAGCGGGAACCGCGGCGGCGCUCGCGCGGCGCCUGCGGGGGGAAGGGCAGUUCCGGGCCGGGCCGCGCCUCAGCAGGGCGGCGGCUCUCCCGGCGCAGACUCAGCGCCCCGGCGGCCGCGGCGACUGGAGAAAUCAAGUUGUGCGGUGGGUGAUGCCCGAGUGAGCGACGGGUCCGGGCCUUUCCCCCGAGGAGGUGACUCCCACGCAGGCCGCACGGGCGUCCUCGCGACUGGGAGGCUCCGUUUCGGUUUCGCGGCGGCGGCGGCGGCGGCGGCGUUGUUGGCGGAGGGGACCCGGGACACCUGAAUGCCCCCGGCCCCGGCUCCUCCGACGCGAUGGGGAAGGUGCUAUCUAAGAUCUUCGGGAACAAGGAAAUGCGGAUCCUCAUGUUGGGCCUGGACGCAGCCGGCAAGACCACCAUCCUGUACAAGUUGAAGCUGGGCCAGUCGGUGACCACCAUCCCCACCGUGGGUUUCAACGUGGAGACCGUGACUUACAAAAACGUCAAGUUCAACGUGUGGGAUGUGGGCGGCCAGGACAAGAUCCGGCCGCUCUGGCGGCAUUACUACACCGGGACCCAGGGUCUGAUCUUCGUAGUGGACUGCGCCGACCGCGACCGCAUCGACGAGGCCCGCCAGGAGCUGCACCGCAUUAUCAAUGACCGGGAGAUGAGGGACGCCAUAAUCCUCAUCUUCGCCAACAAGCAGGACCUGCCCGAUGCCAUGAAACCCCACGAGAUCCAGGAGAAACUGGGCCUGACCCGGAUUCGGGACAGGAACUGGUAUGUGCAGCCCUCCUGUGCCACCUCAGGGGACGGACUCUAUGAGGGGCUCACAUGGUUAACCUCUAACUACAAAUCCUAAUGAGCCUCUUCUCCGCCCAUCCCCCGGAAGGAGAGAAAUCAAAAACCCAUUCAUAGGAUUAUCGCCACCAUCACCUCUUUCAGUUGCCACUUUCUCUUCUUUGAAUUUGAACUCUGGAGUUACCGUUCUGCGGUUUGGGGGAGGGGGUUAGGGGUUUUCUUUUUUGUUUCUUUUCUUUUUUUUCUUUGCUUUGCGUUAGGAUGCUCUGAUCUGACUUUUGACAUGAACACAAAGUGCUAGAUGCUCUUGUUGACUUCCAGCAAAUGGGAUGGGGGAAAUAUAGCAGUUCUUGGUAAAUUCCUUUAUAAUAAUGGUUUGAUUUUUUUAUUUCGAGAGAAUCUUCUUUUCCAAUGUAUGCUUUUUUCCUUUUUGCCCAGUUUCCUUAUCACUUGCUGUAGAUGGCUUAUUUUGCAUUCAUGCAGACUGUGUUGCAAGUCUGUUUCACCUAGUAAACUGAAAAUUAUUGCUUAAUCAAACUGCCGUUUGUCUUUUAUAUUUAAGGCCUUUUUCCCCCUCCCUUAUGAGUUCUGCCUUUAACUUAGUAAAUUCAAAUGUGACCUUUUAUAUCUAAGACCAGUAUAGUAAACAGCCCACAGUGGCAAAUAAUGAGUAGUAUCAUUGUAAUAUGUUCCAGUUGCACAUCACUGUGUUAAACAGGUAAUGUAAGAAGUUCUUUGAAAUUUCAUCUCUUAAGUUCUGAAACAUACAUCAUGCAUGAGUAAGGAUAAAACUCAAGUUCCCCGUUACAUAGCUAACUUACACUGCAUAAAACUAUGAAAAUGUAACCUGUCAAGGACACAGAUUUUUUUUUCACUGCAAAGUUAGCAACUUUGCUGUGUUUUCCCUCUUUUUUAACUUUAAAAAUAGACUUUUCCAGAAAAUGGAGCAAUAAUGGUGUAUGCCACACACAGAUGAAAUAUUUGUAGAUAUUUUAAGUGACUUUUGGGCAAAACUGGAAUAUAUACUUUUACCAUGUUUCAAAUGUCUAAGACCAAUAGUUUUUAAAUUACUAGAAUGUUUACUUUAUUCAUUAAUAAAGCAUUUAACAGUUCAAAUUACAUGCACCUUUUACCUAGUUGGAAAAAAAAAUUCGUGUUUCCACAUUACAGCAAUUGAUUAAGCUGAAGAUAUGUCUUUUUUUUUUAAUAGAUGAGUGAUCCAUAUCUCCAUUAACUAGAACACUGGAAAAGAUGUUUUAUGAAAAAGGUAUUCUGUUUGAUUAACUCACUCAUGCUAAUAGUCAGAUAUCCUGUUGGUUCAAUAAUACACUAUCUCCUUUGAGGAAGGAAAUGUGAUGAAUGAAUGAUGUGUAGACUUGAGGAAUGACAAAAGGGGAAGUAGGAUGCAGAGGAAGAACCUACAGAUGACAAUGAAUGUAAACUUACUUUUCUUCAAGGGUAAGCAGUGUGCUCACUGGUGAUAUCCAGAUCCUAACAAGAUUACUUGCUUAGCUGGUUAGGACCAGUAACUAGAUUAUUGAGACCACUGUAAUACUUUGAACCAAAUGUUAAUGCUCGAUACAGAAUUGUGUAGCAGCAUCUGGUUCUUAUAUAGCCUUAAGGAUUUAUUUUAGAGAUCCUCAAGGAAUUAAACUUAGGGAAUUAAGAAAUGUAGACUGCAAAGGCAGUAUACAGGAAAAGGUGGAGUGGGUCUUGUUUAUGAGGGUGUCUGAAAACUAAAAUUGAACGGGAUAUCAUGGUAUAUGAUUGGACAGUAUUGGUCCUUCAUGCUUUGGCCAUAUUGUAUACUGGAGCUUUUACCAAAGAUGUAUGAGAAGUAUAAGGCUAUAGAAAGUUAACUCUUCAAAGUAAAACUCUUGACAAACAUUUUACUUAAAGCAGAUGAGAAGAGGUGCUAUGUUGUAGGCUCCUAAUGGUGCAGAGGGAUUUUUGAAUUCAAACGCAACUAAAGUAUAAAGUUCUCAGUUUCACUUUAGUAGAAGUAUCUCUAGAAAUGAAGCUGACACACAUCUAAGAACAUUUUAGUUGCUUUUAAAAUUCCCAUAGCUCCAUCAUAAAUUUAAUUCCUAGUGUUUUAAACGAUUACAUAUUAAGGUACAUAAACAUGGGUUAUAUAAAUAUCAAUGUUAUUGUAACAUCCUGAAGCGACAAGCACAAAGGUAUAAAUGCCUAAACUGGAGGAAACUUGAAACCCUCAUGUUAAUUCUUAAAUGUAGUAUUUCUAACUUGUGACAGACAGAUUGGUAGGCAGCCAUUUUUUGUUUGUCUUAAAAUAACUGGGGGCAUAGUUAAAAUUUUAUACAUCAAGUGAUUGCUAUGGAAUGUUGCAGGUGAGAUGUGGUUAUUUUUAGUUUAUUUGAAAUGUCUUAACUGAAGGUGGGGGGAGGAGGGAAAGCAAAUAUUUGAAAUUUGAAAAACCUUUUGCUAAGAAAUUGUAAUUUUCACUUACAUUUUCUUUAAGGAUAUAAAAGGUUGAUAAUUGAUGUAGUUAAAUUGAAUCAUAACCAUUGAUGAUCAUGGGGCAGGUAAUUAUAGCCUGCAAAAAAAGUUACAAUCUAAGAAGUUAAGAAAUAAGAUCCUGAAGUUUUUGUUUAAUUGCAUCAAUUUCUGUAUUUUUUGUGAAUUUAUAAACUGAAGUAAGUUUCAAUGAGGUUAAUCUUGUCUAAUAUAAGUAAAUGAGUCUGUAGACUGUGAUCUCCCCAAACUAAAAAGUACAGUACUUGGAAUUGUGUUCUUUAUGGUUGUAGUGUUGGUAAAGCACUAAUAUGCAGAAAAUAAAGGAAUUACACAGUGCAGUUUCUCACGUUACGUUACUCGUUUGAACUAGAUUAAGUGGGACGUGUGGUGUGUUGGGCCAUGUUAUUCUCCAGGGAUAUAUGGUAUAAAGUAACUUAGUUUGGGAGUCACCUA